ACUAUGUGGAAAAUCAGAACUCAUGGUGCUCUUUGACGCAACCAUGCUCCCUCAAUAUUGGGACAAUAGAAAAGCAGGGCUAUACUUGACUCCUUCUGAGAGGUUCCCUUAAGCAUGAGGUCCAGCUGCCGCUAGUGAUCUCUAGCAAGAGAAAGAAACCAGCAGCCAGUCUGCUUUACACACAUUUGCAGAAAGGAGCUGGAUUUAAUCCAUGGUAUGCUUUCUUUUUAUUUAUAAAAAUGAGGCCUGUUAGUGUUCUUCAAAUCAACACAGAUAAACCAUGCUUAAAAAAAUAAGGUAACUAAGGUUACCUUAUUUCAGUGCCUUCCAUCAUGGAAAAUAAUGCCAGCAAAACAUUUGUAAGAAGCAGCAAAAAUCUUCCCGUUUGCCUUCCCUGAAUCAUUCCAGAUGCUCGACAAUUCUCUGAACUCUACUUUCAGUGCAUAUGAGUUUGCAGAAAGAUUUCAUAGCAGUGUGUGGUUGAACUCUGGACUCUGGUAGCUGUCACAAGAUUCACAGUGGUUUGUAACUGCUGUUGGUACAUGAAAGUUAAUCCUUUGUAAGAACAUCAAGUAGUUCUUACAAUUCCUGAUUAAUUUCCCUAAAACUGUUUUAACUCAUUGUACUUACUUUUCAUUUUACAUUAUGACAAUGGGAUAAGCUACAACUAAAUAGAGUACUAAAAACAAGGUGUUAGAUACCUACAAUACCUGAAGUGUCUUCUGUUUUCUUUACCUAAAGAUUUUAGAGCAUGAUUUCAAGAGAUUUCCUAGUUGUUGGAAUUUUUUGUAAAGAAUACAAUGCUGCUGAUAAGUCUGGAUGGCUUAGAUGAGCAUUCAGAAGAGUAUAGAGCUAAUUUUUCUUGUAUCUCUCGUGAACUGACAAAAUAAACGUUACUGUUUCUACAUCGACAGGACCAAACAGUAAAUCCUGUAGAAUGGUGACAAUAAAAUCUGCAUGUCAUUAUAGUGUAUCCACUACUAAUUGCCAUCUGAUAGGAUGACUCAUUUGAAUUUUUAUUCACUAAAGAUGGUGGGCUAAGGCUAGAAUUAAGAAAAAAAUCACUUAGAAAAGGCAUGAUAUACUGACACUUAGAAAAUGCUGUGGCAUAUUGUCGUUACGAUUCCCUUACCACAAAAAGAAAAAAAAAAAAAAGUAGUGCUGUAUUUUAACCAUUCUGAUGUUUGAAAUUAAAGUCUUCUGACUUGUUCACAUCAUUACUUAGAGCAUUAUAUCCAUUAGCUUCAGUGGAACUCUGCCUUGAGCAGUAUUUUACCGAAUAAGGUCAUUGUCAAGGAAGGUCCAACCUCACAGGCAAGUAUCUUCCAUUCUUUAUAACUUGGGCCCUGGUAACACAAUUAGAAUGUUGUGGAUCAGUGAUUCCUGCUCAGAUUCCCUGGAAUCGAUGGAGAUCUGUUCAUGAGAUUUAUUCAGGUAGAUCCAGACAAAUUUAGAAUGAUGAACAGAUAAUAGUUCCAUCUGCUUUCUACACCACUGAUUGUGGGUAGACAGCCUGCUAGACCUCGUGUGAGAUUAUUUUUCAAACUGAAAAUCUUGUCAUACAAAAGCAGUAACAAUCAAAAUAAAUAACCUCAAUUUCAACUCAUGUUUCUGCUCCUUGACAGCUUUUCAAGCCCCUCAGAGGAAGAUACGAGAAAGUUGAUAUCAAAUUGCUGUCUAAUAGAGUUUGCUUUAUGGCUUUCUCAGUUAGAAAUUGCCAUAUAUACUUAAACAUGAAGUUUUAAUAGAUUAUUUAAAUGUUUUAUUCUGUCUGGAUUCUAUCUAACUUACAAAGGGCUCAUUAUCCAUAUUUCAGCAUUACAGAAAGAAUGACUCAUUUGUGUGUUUAUUUUGCCAUCAAUUUAGUUAAAUAAUGACAUAACUUCUUGGGAUUUUUUAUAGGCAUUUUCCAGCAUUUCAAUGGGAAUUAAUCUGUCAAAUGUAGUAAAUAGAAAGACAAAAGUAAAGAUUUCAGAAAGAUUAGCAGGAGACUCCUAAAUUUGAAAAGCAAAGCAAGCCUUCAAUUAUAUAGUUUACAAUGGUUCCUCCUCAGCAAUGGCUAUAGAAUAAAUAAUAGAGUCAUAUGACACUUUGAAUGUACAUUUUAGGAGUUUCUUAAUUAAAGAAAAUAAAAAGAGAGAAAAUCUUACAACUAUUUUUGGAAGAGAAGAGAGCCUGUAUUAUAAUGCCUUUCAGAUACAGUUACCUAGCUAUGAAGUGACCCUUCAUUUCUUUUAUUUUUCUUAGAUUGCUUUUUUACUCUCCUAAUUAUUUUUGACAGCUUUUUUUCUUUCUCCUUUGUUUCUGCAUUUCAUUCACGCUGACAUUUCAGUUCUCUCAUUUGUUUUAUUAUUCUCUCUUGCUUUUUGUGGGGGUGAUACUUUCAUAUUCUCUGUUUUCACAUUUCACUUCCUUUCCCCUCAGAGUUUUAUUGUCUCAUAUUUUAUUCUGAGGUCAGGGAAGAGCAGGGAAUAUAUGGCAGCUGCAUGCACAGGAAAUAUGCUCAGUUCAGUGUUUGAACCUGUGCUUUUUUUUGGUUGUUAUUUCAGGUUUUUGAUCAGACUGUCUCAUGCCAGUUACUGCAUGACACAUUUAUUCAUUAGAUCCUCCUAUACACAGAGAUUGCUUCAUACUUAUAUCGAGGAAUUCGGUGAAAGAUUAUAUUCUGUAUGCACACAGCCAAGUUCCAUUUGAAGGCAGAAAAUUUCAGCAAUGACCUUAUUUGCACCUGCUUAGUUAAUCAUCUGGGCUCUCAUCACAUAGUAUUCAGCCAUAUUCCAAAUACUAAUACCACUGAGAUAAUAUUCAGGAACCUGAAGACCGUGGGCAUAUGACCAAGUUACCUUCAGUUCUUCUUGGAGAACCUUGCAGACUGGAGAAGGAGGUAAAACAAGAAAUGGAAAGACUGCAACUUACUGUUGGAAAACAUAAUGUCAUUGAUCAGUACUGCUUAGUGGAGAUGAAAAGUUUGCAAGCCCGUAUUCUUGAAACUAGCACAUCCAUCCUCAUUCAAUACACUGCUGUCUUGACUUACAUUGGCCACUGUCUGGUGCUUCUCAACUACAGCGAAGAAGAGAAAAUUGACUGUAUCACACUGUUCAACUUAGAAACUGGAAUGGUUAAAAAAUAAUUGAAAAAUUAACCAACUGUGUACUUCGUGGCAAUUACAGAUGAUCCCAGUGGAAUUGUUUUUGGAGUCAUGAUGGAAAUCAGGUUUCCAAAGCGCGUACAUAGCACAUGUACAGGAAGAAGAGCCUUUUGGCUCAGUAAAGCUUCAUCAGCUAAUGCAUCAGAGUACAUCUCCCCGUGACAAACAGGGCCCACUGCAGCACAGACAUAAGAAUUAACACAUGCUUUGGUAACUUACCUGAUCUGGCGAUGCUUUGAAAAUAGCAUUGAAAUUUUGGUCCAUUUGAACACCAGCACAAAGUUAUUCAAGUUAUGAAGGCUGUGAUCAGCCAACUCCAGCUACUAGAAGAAGGAGCAAGAGCAGCCCAGCUUGCAGGAAGCAUCACCAUUUUAUGGACAUACUACCUGUUGAUACAAUCCCCAGCCCAAGCCUUCCAGUCUUCCCAGGAAGGAAACUUAAGGAUUAUUAAGCUGUAACAAAUAUAAAAAGGAGUAAUAUGCACCAAGGAGAACUUGAGACACUCAUCUGCAUGGUACUCUGGACAAAGUCAUUAACAAUGAUCCCCUCUUUGCAACCUUAUCAUGUGAUAGCCUGGAAAGCAACUCAGGGCCUUAGAGCAAGGUUUACAUUCCCUCCUAUCCCACUGAUGGUCAAAGCCCUUGGGGCAGUUUCCCACAAGUGCAGUUCACUUACUGCAGCAUGGAUCUCCCCAGUGAAGCUGGUCCACUUAAACUAAAGUUUUAAAGCUCAGAAUAUUGGCUCCACACUCCCCUGCCAUAUGUUAACUAAUAUUACUUGCAAAUGCUAAAAUCCCGUUAAGGAAUCAGAUCCUAAUUGUGGAAGCAGGCUCAGUGUUUUAUGUAGCUAAUAAUAUUUGGAGACCUUCCCGUUGAUUCAUACCAUCUGGCCCAGCAGCGAUGAGGCUUUUGUUACACUACAUGCAGCACACCUAGCCCUCCAGCCCCAGACCGGCACAGCCCUCUAGUGGAGAUGCAGGAUUGAGCUGGGAUGAUAUUCAUCCACAGCAGCUUGCUUUUGCUCCCUCUGCCUUCCAGGCUGUUCUCAACUCAGCUGUGCUUUUCGAUCGUACUUGGCCACAGAUGGUGUCACUUCUUCAUCUGUGCCCUCAUGGAAGACUGUAGCAGCAAAGAACAGAGAUCUACGCAGACUUCAGAACACUUCCAGCCCACCUAGAGAUAACCUGUGCGCCUGCUCUACCUGCCCUGCCAAGACUGCCAGGGCACAGGCAGUCUUCCAAGUAAGAACACUGUUGAGCGUAACCCUAGGUAUAAGCUUUGGUAUACCAUUUAUUUCUCCUCUGUUAGUAUCUCCCAUUGCAAAGGAGCAGAAGCAGCUGUUUCCAUCUUUUUCCACCUCCUCUAGAGGGUGGAGGAAGUUAAAAAAUAAACUUUUAACAACCAGCUAAGUUUAGACACUAUCAGCAUACUUCAGAAAAAUAAUGUUUAAUGUUAAAGCCCUUCAGAAAUCUGCUAGGAUUUGUCUAUUGGCUGUAUGCCAGCCACACUUCUUUUUAAAAAUUUUAAAUUAUUAUCAUCAUCAAUACUGAAGUGAAAGCUUUUGCUUUCAGGCUUUUUGGAUAGUUGCCCAAAUCCAAGAGCUACUGUGCUAUACUUAAACCCAGGUGUGGCCACACAGGUAUCAAAAUACUACUGAAGGAAAGCAAAGUUGAUGUCCCAAAGAAUAUCAAUCAUAUUCCAGAUCUCUAGAGAUUAUGAUGAAGAUUUCAUCACACUUGCAGUUUCUGUUCCCAGAAAUGUCAAUAUCCCCUCUCACGGGAUCCUUCUACAGCUUCAAGGCUUGCAUAGGCAGUGGCAAAAUACAAGUGAUCAAGGAAAUGGUUUCAUCACUACAGAGACCAUCUUAAACAAUAAAGACCAUAUCAAGAUGCUCAACAGAAUCCCAGCAGAACCCCACUAAGAAAAUCCAAAACUUCUUACACACCACAUCUGUCAAAUCCAAAAAUUGACUCCUAUGUGUCAAGUCACGAAGAGUUUAAUAUCAACAAAAAAAAGCUUAAGUUAAUGGUAUUUUCUUCCUUGAAAUAACAUAUUGGUCAUAUGAAAGUCACUGAAGGUCUGUUUUUAACCUGGAAGACUUUAACAGUUACAGCUGAAUUCAUAAACCCUAUUUCCAAAUGUGUGAUGUUAACACAAAAAUUGGAAACUUAAGACCUGGGAUAAAGAACAAAUUCAGUUGUUAAGGUUAGCAGUUAGGUGAGGUGUUUCAGUGCCUUCCCCAUAACAUGAAGAGUUCUUCAGUAUCUUUCCUACCACCAUUAUUUCAAGACUCACGAGGUUUUUUGUUUUUGCUUUUGUUUUUAAAUACUAGUGGGGUUAAAUUGAAAUCAAGCGCCAUAUGCUUGUAAUGUCUUCUGUGAAGGUCUGAUGCCACCCUGUUUCAACUAUUUGGUUAUUCAGUGCAGAAA